AUGGCAGAAGCUUUAGCCCUCAAAUUUGGACUAACACUAGCGCAAAGGGCAGGGUGCAAUCGCCUAAUCAUCAACUCAGAUAAUCUAGAGGUGACUGAGACCAUGCAGGAUGGAGGACAGUCAAUGGGUGCGGCAGCGGUAAUUUUCGAUGACUGCUUCCAUUACGCAUGUGAUUUUAUCAUGACUAGAUUCGAACAUUGUAAUAGAGAGGCAAAUAAAGUAGCACAUGAACUUGCUAGAUUAGCUAGAUUUUCUUCAACUUCAGAUUGGUUCGAGGAGCCUAUCAAUGAAAUUGUACUCAUCCUCACAAACGAUGUACUGGUUAUUUCUAAUGAAUAA
rnacentral:rRNA from 1 species